rnacentral:lncRNA from 1 species
GUAUUGUUUCCCUUUUGUUUCCUCAUUCCGUAAAAUAUUCUUAGCAGCUUUGUUUGGAAGUCUGUAGAAUCAUGAAGAGUUGAUUAAGAGUUGGUGUGGAAGAGAGCAUAAUAGAAUUACUUGUUAGAAAUACCAGAAAAUGGAAAAAGUAAAAUUUACUAAUAUAGAUAUGUCUUUCAAAAUAAAAUAAUAAAAUUGAAAUGAAAAUAAAAAUCAAAAGAAAAAUAAAAAUAAAAUAAAAAUAAAACUAAAUAAAAAAUAGGAGGAUUCAAUGAUCCUCAUUGGUGGGGCCCUCAGGUGGUGGUGCUGGAGUGGAGAUGUGGAAGUGUUGGC